AUUUUGAAGUCCUUCAAUAUCAUAUCAGGCCUAUUCGCAUCUACCUUUCUAUCAGUUUGAAUGGUGAAGUUCCAGAGGAGUGAGAUGUGAUCAUUUUCAAGCACUGGGGGUGUUUGCUUUGUAUUCCCACCA